UUUUCAAACACCUCACAAUCACUCUCAAACACCUCUCAAUCUGCUGAUUUUCGCAAGAGUGGACAGAUUCAUACCAUGUUCUUCAAACAAGCAUAACUUCUUCAUUUCUUGUCCGUUUUCGUCGAUUCUUUUUCCAGAACGCUUGGCUUGACCUUGGCUUCGAUUCUAGGUGUGUUUCACAGCAAACAAGUCCCUGGAACUCCGGCAAAAAGGCUUCAAAGUCCACUGUUUAAGUUUGUUUUCAUUAAUCUUUGUUUAGACACGAGUUUAACUCACUCAAACCUAUGUCCUUAUGCUUAUAACCACUCCCAUGGUUAGUUAGGCUUAAAAACAAGGUUGAGACAUACAAAAUCAGAGGUUAACCCUCAAAUACUUUCUGUUUUAUUUAGGGUUUUUAACCCACAAGUGGUGUUCAAGCUUCAAGCUUGAUAAAGGUGUGAUUGUGGACUAACUUGGGUUGUCCAACAUAAAAUCCCCACAUCCCUUGAUGAUUUCUCAUAGUGUAGAUGUUUCUUAUUCUUGUAAUAAUAUUAGUUCAUGACCCUCCUUGUAUGUUUUUACAUCAAGUGUAGUGGUGAACCAUAAGAGGUACCUAAAUGGAAGCUUGUUCUUCCUACCUCCUACAUGAAUUCUAUGACACAAUAGAGGUACCUAAAUGAAGAUUUAUCUUCUACCUCAUGCUUGAUUAUUGGACUAAAUAAUACAUAUAAUACUUAUACAUAUAUUUACUAUUCGAACUCUUGAUGGUGGACUUGUGUUCAUUCGUCAAAGUAUUAGAAUACAUCAUCCAAGACAUAAGACUUGUUACGAUUCUAAUGAGUAUACUACUCGUGAAAACAUUAACCCUUGAGGUUUCAUAGUGUCAAGAACAAGUACUUGGUGUUAAAGGAUGAUUACUUUUGAAUACAUAUAUAUUCUUGUGUUUUAACUUCCUAAGUCCCUAAACGAACAUAUUCAACCUUCUAACCUCAUCAACUUCGUCACAUUGGAUAAUCGGAAAGCAUAUGCGAAUUUGUCGAGGAUUGAUGAUGCUAUGAAAACGGACUAGCAAAGAUGCCUAGAUACACAUAUAGACGUUAGGUUUAAAUGUUGUAUCAAUUUUGAUUAUGUUGUUAUGUAUUUCUUUUGAAAUUGUUGAUAUUUGAAAUUCCUUGUAUUGUUGACAAUUUAGUUUAUGAAAUGAAAUCGGUUUAUUAAAUAUU
rnacentral:lncRNA from 1 species